rnacentral:rRNA from 1 species
GGUGUUUACUGUCGAACUGAACACUCUACCGUUUACUGUCUGGUGGUGCUCUUCACCGAGUGUCACCAGUGGUCGGUACGUUUACUUUGAAAAAAUUAGAGUGCUCAAAGCGGUUUUUACACGACCGAAUACUGUUGCAUGGAAUAAUGAAAUAGGACUUUGGUUCUAUUUUGUUGGUCUUCGGAACCAAGGUAAUGAUUAAGAGGGACAGACGGGGGCAUUAGUAUUGCGACGCUAGAGGUGAAAUUCUUGGACCGUCGCAAGACUAACUAAAGCGAAAGCAUUUGCCAAGAAUGUUUUCAUUAAUCAAGAACGAAAGUUAGAGGUUCGAAGGCGAUCAGAUACCGCCCUAGUUCUAACCAUAAACGAUGCCAACCAGCAAUCAGCCUGUGUUCUCUUGAUGACACGGCUGGCGGCUUCCGGGAAACCAAAGUCUUUCGGUUCCAGGGGAAGUAUGGUUGCAAAGCUGAAACUUAAAGGAAUUGACGGAAGGGCACCACCAGGAGUGGAGCCUGCGGCUUAAUUUGACUCAACACGGGGAAACUCACCCGGCCCGGACACUGUGAGGAUUGACAGGUUGAAGCCCUUUCUUGAUUCAGUGGGUGGUGGUGCAUGGACCGUUCUUAGUUGGUGGAGUGAUUUGUCUGGUUAAUUCCGAUAACGAACGAGACUCUAGCCUACUAAUUAGACCGUGGCGUCCUCGUGCCGCCACGGCGCUUCCUAGAGGGACAGACGG